GCGUUCUGCGUUCGCAAGUUCUUUCACUUUCAGAACCUACGACCUGCCUCCAUUAAUUCACCACCAGGCCGGCGUCGACCUGCCUCCUGCCACCAUCACCAGGCGUCGGUUAACCACUUAACCUCCUUCCUUCUAUUCUCAAAGUGAGAAUUUUCAGUUGCCUCUGCAGAAAGAAGCUUUUCAAAAUUGAAGUUGUUGAAGUCUUACUUGCGGUCUACCAUGUUACAAGAAAGACUUAACGGCUUAGCAUUGAUAGCAAUUGAGAAUAAUCUCUUGGAUGACAUACAAUAUGAAGACUUGAUUGAUGAAUUUGCUUCAAAAAAUGCAGCAAGAAUGAGUCGAUUUAAGUAGCAAGAGAAUUUUUUUUUAUAAGCAAAGUAACUAUAAUGUAUUUUGUUGUUA